rnacentral:tRNA from 1 species
GCCACCCUAGCUCAGUGGUAGAGCACUCCCUUGGUAAGGGAGAGGUCGUGGGUUCGAAUCCCAUGGGUGGCU